GGGAAGACCCGGCGCCCUCGGCAGCUCCCACCGCCGCUCGCAGCCAGAGCGAUGUCCCGUGCGGCGGCGCUGGGAAGGACCUGAGGCCCCCGCCGGCUCUGGCGUAGCAGCGGCCGCUAUGAAGCCAAGGGCCCCGCUCACUCCGUCACUCUCUCCUCCCCCGGAGGCUGCGCUGACCGGACAAUGGCCGCUCCGCCCCCUCCCCUCCUCACACACCCCUCCCAAGGAGUCACAAUGGUCUCGCCCGGGGGAGCCGCCGCCAAAGCCCAGCAGCUGAUCAGCUGGGAUCCGGGCGUGCCACUUUGUUCAGCGCCUCAAAGGAAAAGUAUUGGGCUGUGGGCAAAGCCGAGAGCGUCGGGCUAUCACUCGGCGAAGGGCCUCUGAGGCUCUCGUAUUCUUGGAACUUUUAAAAUCUGAGGCAAACUUACCUUCUCCCCGUCUGAAGAAGGGGAGCAGGCUUCUGAGCACUCGGGGACGCGCUGCCUCCCCUCAAACGCGAAUGAGUGGACACGUUGGUUUUUAGAGGGGAACUAUGGCCGAAUCAGUGAUGAAAAUUGAUGUAACCAAAGAAGUUCGAGCCACUAAAAAAUAAGCCUUUAGCACUCCAUGUCUUUGAUCUUGAACUCAUUCUGAGUUCCAGCCAAUCAUCUGCUUUCACUGCUGCUCUGGGAACACAGCGGAACGUGACUGUCCACGCUUGCCUUGCCUCACUUCAAGAACCAGCAGAAAUUAAUCAGUUAUCUAUGAAUCCCAGUUCUCAGGAGAAAGAACCUGACUGGUCAAAUUUAUGUUAGGUUGUCCAUUCUUGAUAAAGUUGCUUUGAGCCAGUCCAGGCUCUUUGUUUUGUAAUGCAUACAGGACUGCCAGAGGCCCAUCCUUGUAGCCUGUGGGUCUCAAAAAAGGUCAGUGAUGUUCUUGACAAAGAUUCCAAAGGUAUCUACCAGAGACCAAAAAAGGAGUCAAUUGCAGCCUGAAAUCAAAAAGCAUAAAGAACAGUGGACAUGAUGGGGUGCCUGGGUGGCUCAGUCGUUAAGCGUCUGCCUUCGGAUCAGGUCAUGAUCUCAGGGUCCCGGGAUUGAGCCCCGCAUCGGGCUCCCUGCUCAGCAGGAAGCCUGCUUCUCCCUCUCCCACUCCCCCUGCUUGUGUUCCCUCUCACUGUGUCUCUCUCUGUCAAAUAAAUAAAUAAAAUCUUAAAAAAAAAAAGAACAGUAGACAUGUUCAAGAAUUUUCCAACAAACUAACUCCUACUCAAACUAUUUCAGGCCUAAAAUUAAAUGGCAUUCCCUCAAAGAAGCUUUCACUGAUCCCCAGCCCCAGUUAAGAUUAUGUUGUCCCAGGCACCUGGGUGGCUCAGAUGGUUAAGCGUCUGCCUUCGGCUCAGGUCAUGAUCCUGGGAUCCUGGGAUUGAGUCCCGCAUCGGGCUCCUAGCUAGGCGGGGAGCCUGCUUCUCCCUCUG